rnacentral:rRNA from 1 species
AACGAACGCUGGCGGCAUGCCUAACACAUGCAAGUCGAACGAGACCUUCGGGUCUAGUGGCGCACGGGUGCGUAACGCGUGGGAACCUGCCUUUAGGUUCGGAAUAACUCAGAGAAAUUUGAGCUAAUACCGGAUGAUGUCUUCGGACCAAAGAUUUAUCGCCUUUAGAUGGGCCCGCGUUGGAUUAGCUAGUUGGGGGGGUAAAGGCCUACCAAGGCGACGAUCCAUAGCUGGUCUGAGAGGAUGAUCAGCCACACUGGGACUGAGACACGGCCCAGACUCCUACGGGAAGCAGCAGUGGGGAAUAUUGGACAAUGGGCGAAAGCCUGAUCCAGCAAUGCCGCGUGAGUGAUGAAGGCCUUAGGGUUGUAAAGCUCUUUUACCCGAGAUGAUAAUGACAGUAUCGGGAGAAUAAGCUCCGGCUAACUCCGUG